rnacentral:lncRNA from 1 species
GUUGGCUUGCCCAGGGGUGUGUAGGGCCCAGAACCCAGCAGCCAGAGGCGCUGGCUCUGUCUGGUGCCUGUCCUGUGUCCUUGGUCACUGGUGACUCCACACACUGCUGGGAGGGGGGACAGGAAAGGAAGCUGGGUGGGGCUAUAGGUCCUGACCUCGGGAGACAGCAGGAAAUGGCCCCUCCCUUGGGAUGGCCACAUGGCCUGCUAGUCCUCCCCUCCCCCUCCCAUCUGCCAACCACCACCUUGGAGAACCCCACGUCUCCCCAGCGCCACCCCACCCCACUCCAAUUGCCCUGUCUCCCAGGGGAAGGGCCCUGGGGUCAGCACACUCAGGUUCUAGUCUAGCUCCUUCAAAGAUGGCAGACAUCAGGCAGAGGGCACCCUGAGCCGGUGGGUGGCAUGGUGUCUGGGCCCCAGAGAUCCCAGGUCAAGGGCACGUUAGGUCCUCUCAGCUCAGAACCCUGGUUCCUGUGGCUCAGGCGGGAUGCCCCAAGAGAUGGCAGGAGCCAGACCUGCUCCCCUGUGGACGUCUGCCUGUCCUUCAUGCCUCAGCCUUCUCCUGGCACUGGUGGGCCCCUGGGCCCCUGGGGCUGGUGGUGUCCUUCCACUGAAGGCCAGGAGGCUGGGGCUGGGCAGCUGGCCGCUCAGCUGAAGCUGGGCUGCCAUCAGCCCUAUGUGCCCUCUCUUACCUGCACCGAGAGGCGUCACGGCUUGAAGGUCACAGGUAACCUGAAAGGCCUUAGGAUACACCCAGGCUGUACCCCGUCUCUCCACAGUGGAUGCAGACCGGGGAGGUGAACUGGGCUGACCUGCAGGUGGGUGUCCCGCUCUCCCCGCAUCUGGCAGGGGGCUGUAGAGGAUCACCCCAGGGCCUCCCCAUCUUCCCCUGGAAGCCCCCCAAGGGCCUCUCUCCCCUCCUGUCCUUGGGUAGUACCAUCUCUGGCUCAUAGGGGGCGCUGAGGCCCCGCGGCUGGCUUCCCGCCUGCCCAAACCCUGAAAAAUGCGGCUCGUGAUCUGCAAACGCUGGGGCUGUGUGUUUUUCCAAUCAAUAGAAGAUGCUCAGUCCCUGAGAUGUCGCUCCCAGAGUCUUCACACAUCUGCAUCGGAAGGAUUCCAAAUGCAAAGUCUUUUCCUGUUGAAGAAAAAAAUGUAAAAGGAGAAAGGGAGAAUUUGCCUGACAGAUUAGAAAAUUUUCCACUUCCCAGCCUUUGAACAAAGUAUUUGUGCUUCUUCUUGCCAAUUACCAGGCUGCAAAAGGGGAGCGGGGCAGGCCUGAGCGGGCGGCGGCGCGCUGAGCCCCAGGAAGAGCCUUCAGGUUCCUGCAGGCAGGCGGGGCAGCAGGUGCCCGUGCAGGCCCUGGAGGUCGGUCCAGCCCUGCCUCCCUCAUGUUUGACCUUGGUAAGACUUGGCCGGUGAGCCCAGCUCUCGGGGCCAGGCUGAGAGGGGGCUGUGUUCAGUUCUCAUGGCAGGCGUGCGGGGAAGGUCAAGGCAUUUUAUCUAAAACACAGAGCAUCUACAAAUAAAC